rnacentral:rRNA from 1 species
GUAGGUGGCAAGCGUUGUCCGGAUUUACUGGGCGUAAAGAGCGCGCAGGCGGUCGUACAAGUCGCGUGUGAAAGCCCCCGGCUCAACUGGGGAGGGUCACGCGAUACUGUUCGACUCGAAGGCAGGAGAGGGAAGCGGAAUUCCCGGUGUAGUGGUGAAAUGCGUAGAUAUCGGGAGGAACACCAGUGGCGAAGGCGGCUUCCUGGCCUGUUCUUGACGCUGAGGCGCGAAAGCUAGGGUAGCAAACGGGAUUAGAUACCCCGGUAGUCCUAGCCGUAAACGAUGGACACUAGGUGUUGGUGGUAUCAACCCCGCCAGUGCCGUAGCUAACGCAUUAAGUGUCCCGCCUGGGGAGUACGGCCGCAAGGCUA